CUUUCGUGCCUCCACGUAAGACAUGGCUUUGCUUCUCCUUCACCUUCCUCCAUGAUUGUGAGGCCUCCCCAGCCAUGUGGAACCGUGAGUCCACUGAACCUCUUUUUCUUUAUAAAUUCCCCAGUCUCGGGUAUGUCUUUAUUAGGAGCAUGAGAACAGACUGAUACACCUGGACUCUGCCCCAUGUGUCUCUUCUUUUCACUGAUUCUAAUCUGUAUCUUUUCACCAUAGUAAACCAAAACAGUGGGCAUAACAGUUUUGGUGCAUUCUGUGAGUGCUUCCAGUGAAUUGUCAAACCCAAGGAUAGUCUUGGGGACCCCCUGAACUUACAAGUGCUAUCAGAAUAAAAAAUGAUCCUCUACGCUGUCAAAUAGGACAGACUAGGGAAGCCAACCUGUUGUAGGAAAAAGGGGAAGAUGAGUAAACGAUAUUCUUCUGUCAGAUCUAGUUGUACAUUUCUUUCUGUGUUUGUUUCAGCUAGAUGCCACCAGGCUUGUCACAGAAUUCAGAGAUUCGUUGUACCUAUGACGAGGCCAAAGCAUUAGAGAUAGAUCAGGGAGGUCUCUGUCCUCAAUGCGUCUUCACCCCAUUGUGGGGUGAAGCUGGGAAUCUCUCUUAGGAAAAGGUGAGUUGGGAGGUAGGUGAGUGAAAUGGACACUUGGAAGUUUUGACAACUUUUUCUCCAUGUGAAAAUUGUUCCUCGUUAAUCAAACUUGAAAAAUCUGAGUAAGCUAACAGGUUUCCUUAUUAAACUCCUUUAGGCUGAGGACUCUGUCUUAGUAUUUCUGCGUUCAUAGCACCAAGUACAAUAUACAGCAUAGGGUAAAUUCACGGUCAUUCUAAUUUUUAAAUUAAUCAUUUGGUAUGUAAUUUCAUAUAAGGUAAAAAAGAGGACUUCUGAACUUAAUCUGAAAAGAUGUCUCAAUGUAUUCUUACAAGCUCACCUUUGUUUGAUGCUAAUUUUAAUUUUUCUGAUUUGAUUGAAAAAAACAUUUUGAAGAAAAAAGCACCCAUAAUAUCCUCUUAUUAUGAAAAUUUUCUAUAUUAUUAUGUAGCCUCCAUAUUAUCUGAAAUCCCUGCUGAAUAUUCUGUAUCGUUCAUAAAUAUUCUGUAUAGUUUGUAAUCAAAGUAUGCCUAAAGAAGAUAACGCUGGUGCUGUGCAGAAGACAGUUUAGACAGUUGCACUGUUGAUCAGGACCCAGUAAUAGAGCCAGCAGACAGAAGAACCUGAGUCCUUUAGUCAUCCAUGGAGGAGAGCCCCACCAUCCUGGAAUACCCUGCUGGACUGAUAUAAGCAUCAGAAACUCGAUUUUUUUUUUUUUUUUGGCUGUUACAUCUUGGUUCUGUUUAUUAUAGUAGUUGAAUCUACUCUAAUAAUGCAAAAAUUGAUACCAUGCUAGCCAGGUGUGGUGCCAUGAAGAAGGGUACUGCCAUAAGAAAGACCAAAAAUAUGUGAUAUCGUUCAGGUGCAGUAGCUCACGCCUGUAAUCCCAACAAUUCAGGAGGCCGAAGCAGGCGGAUCACGAGGUCAAGAGAUCGAGACCAUCCUGGCCAAUAUGGUGAAACACCAUCUCUACUAAAAAUAUAAAACUUAACCAGGCGUGGUGGCGGGUGCCUGUAAUCUCAGCUACUUGGGAGGUCGAGGCAGGAGAAUCACUUGAACCUGGGAGGCGGAGGUUGCAGUGAGCCGAGAUCAUGUCACUGCACUCCAGCCUGAUGACAGAGCAAGACUCCAUCUCAAAAAAAAAAAAAAAUGUGCCAUUGGCUUCACAGUUGAGCAGCAGGAAAGGAAAAAAUAGUAUGCUAUAAAUCUGAACAUUCUAAAGUCUAUGCUGUCAACCACACUGCAGAGCCAAAAUAGGGCUUCCUGACUCACUCGCUGUGAAUGGUUACAAGUGUGCUGAUACUUUGAUGCCCUCUGCUUUCCAAGGGAACUCAGAGUUCAAGGUGGCCAAGCUCCCCAGCCUGGCUGCCUCCAGCCAAGAGCAGCCUCGUGUUUACCACUAGUGAGCCAUUUAAAUACUAAAUAAAUAUAAAGCAUUUUUUUCAUUCCUUUUGACUGAAAAAGAAAGCAACCUCUGUAAACUCUCUUAUAAAACCAC
rnacentral:lncRNA from 1 species